AAGUUGGAAUCGCUAGUAAUCGCGGAUCAGCAUGCCGCGGUGAAUACGUUCCCGGGCCUUGUACACACCGCCCGUCACACCAUGAGAGUCGGGAACACCCGAAGUCCGUAGUCUAACUUUCACGAGAGGACGCGGCCGAAGGUGGGUUCGAUAAUUGGGGUGAAGUCGUAACAAGGUAAC
rnacentral:rRNA from 1 species